rnacentral:rRNA from 1 species
CGGGUGAGUAUCGCGUAGGGAUUUAUCGUUGGGUGGGGGAUAACCUUGGGAAACUGGGGCUAAUACCGCAUGACGCCUGUGGGCCAAAGGCAGCGAUGUCGCCUGAUGAGGAGCCUGCGUCCGAUUAGCUAGUUGGUGGGGUAAAGGCUUACCAAGGCUGCGAUCGGUAGCUGGUCUGAGAGGAUGAUCAGCCACACUGGGACUGAGACACGGCCCAG